rnacentral:sRNA from 1 species
GCCGGACAAGGAGGCACAUGCCUGUAAUCCCAGUGGCUCGGGAGGCUGAGACAGGAGGAUCACAAGUUCAAAGGCAGCCUUAGCAAAAGUGAGGCACUAAGCAACUCAGUGAGACCCUGUCUCUA